rnacentral:rRNA from 1 species
CCUACGGGUGGCAGCAGUGGGGAAUAUUGGACAAUGGGGGCAACCCUGAUCCAGCGACGCCGCGUGUGUGAAGAAGUAUUUCGGUACGUAAAGCUCUAUCAGCAGGAAAGAAAAUGACGGUACCUGACUAUGAAGCCACGGCUAACUACGUGACAGCAGCAGCGGUAAUACGUAGGGGGCAAGCGUUACCCGGAUUUACUGGGUGUAAAGGGAGCGUAGACGGCAGCGCAAGUCUGGAGUGAAAUGCCGGGGCCCAACCCCGGAACUGCUCUGGAAACUGGGAAGCUGGAGUGCAGGAGAGGUAAGCAGAAUUCCUGGUGUAGCGGUGAAAUGCGUAGAGAUCAGGAGGAACACCGGCGGCGAAGGCGGCUUACUGGACGGUAACUGACGUUGAGGCUCGAAGGCGUGGGGAGCAAACAGGAUUAGAUACCCGGGUAGUC